UACGAAGGGGACUAGCGUUGUUCGGAAUUACUGGGCGUAAAGCGCACGUAGGCGGUUUUGUAAGUCAGGGGUGAAAUCCCGGGGCUCAACCUCGGAACUGCCUUUGAUACUGCGAAUCUUGAGUCCGAUAGAGGUGGGUGGAAUUCCUAGUGUAGAGGUGAAAUUCGUAGAUAUUAGGAAGAACACCAGUGGCGAAGGCGGCCCACUGGAUCGGUACUGACGCUGAGGUGCGAAAGCGUGGGGAGCAAACAGG
rnacentral:rRNA from 1 species